rnacentral:rRNA from 1 species
UAUCUCUGUAGAGUCUGCAUAUCAAUAAGCGGAGGAAAAGAAACUAACUAGGAUUCCCUCAGUAACGGCGAGUGAAGCGGGAAGAGCUCAAAUUUGAAAUCUUCAAGGUUCUACCUUGACGAAUUGUAGUUUAAAGAAGUGUUUUCUGUUGGAGUUUUGGUAAAAGUUCUUUGGAAUAGGACAUCAUAGAGGGUGAGAAUCCCGUAUUUGACCAUUACUUUCCAGCUUUGUGAUACACUUUCAAAGAGUCGGAUUGUUUGGGAAUGCAGUCCAAAAUGGGUGGUAAAUUUCAUCUAAAGCUAAAUAUUGGCGAGAGACCGAUAGCGAACAAGUACCGUGAGGGAAAGAUGAAAAGAACUUUGAAAAGAGAGUUAAACAGUACGUGAAAUUGUCAAAAGGGAAGCGUUUGACACCAGUGUUGUUUUCUCGAAAAUCAAUUAAAAAAGGCAGGAUUUUGUGUUGUAUUGACUUUAUCAGCUUUCUGCACUCUUUUCUUGUCUUUUUUAAUGCACUUUUCGUUUAACAAGUCAACAUCAAUUUUUUUGUUGUAAAAGGGUCAUUGGAAGGUGGCUUUCUUUUCGGAGAAAGUGUUUAUAGCCUUUGGCCUCUGCAAUCGGAGAGAUUGAGGUCUGCAGCGUAGAUCCUUCGGGGUUAGAUACAUUUGUGCUAAGUUAUAGCCUUUAUAGACAACUUGUUGACUAUGAUCAGUCAUGUAGCUUACUCGCUUAUGCUAUUUUACCUACGCUUAGGAUGUUGAUAGUCACAGCGUGUAC